CAGAAAGUCACUCAGCUGGCAGGAUUUCACACUCUGCAGACUGACCCCCAAGCUUUUGUUCCUGAAUGGUCUAAGUCAUUCACGCUCCUACCUGUGUUACUGUAUUGAUGUCUUCUAGUAAGAUUUACAGGAUGGCAUAGGCAUCCUUGAUGCCAUUGAAGAUGCCUCCCUGGGAUAGAUGUUUAGGGAGCAUCCUCAACCCCAGGCUGGCUUUAUUCUGCCAUUCAGAAUUGCAUACAAUUUGGACAACCGGGGUUCUACAGUUACAGCAUAGUUAGAAGAAAACGCUUUCAAGUUUUCACCACUAAGAUCAGGAGCUAAACAAGGAUGCCC